AAGGGUAGGUAGGUGGUUACGUAUGUCUGGGGUGAAAUCCCUGAGCUCAACUCAGGAAGUGCCUUGGAAACGGCGUAACUAGAGUGCUAGAGAGGUUCGUAGAAUUCCCGGUGUAGCGGUGAAAUGCGUAGAGAUCGGGAGGAAUACCAGAGGCGAAGGCGGCGAACUGGAUAGCAACUGACACUAAACUACGAAAGCGUGGGGAGCAAACAGGAUUAGAUACCCUGGUAGUCCACGCUGUAAACGAUGGGUACUAGAGAUUGUGGGAGUUGACCCCUGCAGUCUCGGAGCUAACGCGAUAAGUACCCCGCCUGGGAAGUACGGUCGCAAGACUAAAACUCAAAGGAAUUGACGGGAGCCCGCACAAGCGGUGGAUUAUGUGGUUUAAUUCGAAGCAACGCGCAGAACCUUACCUAGGUUUGGCAUCCUUUGACAACUACAGAGAUGUAGCUUUCGUAGCAAUACGACAAAGUGACAGGUGCUGCAUGGCUGUCGUCAGCUCGUGUGGUGGCAUGUCGGGUUAAGUCCCUCAACGAGCGCAACCCCUGUUUUUAGUUGCCAGCAUUAAGUUGGGCACUCUAGAAAGACUGCCGUGGUUAACACGGAGGAAGGCGGGGAUGACGUCAAGUCCUCAUGGCCCUUACACCUAGGGCGACACACGUAAUACAAUGGUCGGUACAGAGGGAUGCGAAAUGGUGACAUGGAGCAAAUCUCAAAAAGCCGAUCUCAGUUCGGAUUGGAGUCUGCAACUCGACUCCAUGAAGGCGGAAUCGCUAGUAAUCGCGGAUCAGCACGCCGCGGUGAAUACGUUCCCGGGCUUUGUACACACCGCCCGUCACACCAUGGGAGCUGACUCAACCAGAAGACGAUCAGGGUAACCGCAAGGAGCCCUUCGGCGAAGUGGGGUUGGUGACUGGGGUGAAGUCGUAACAAGGUAA
rnacentral:rRNA from 1 species